CCCACACAAUCUCCCCCCCCCCCCCAAAAAAACAUGUCUAAAAACUAGACUCCGGCAAGCGGCGGCGACGGUGGCGGUGGGACUUCACUGUAUCCAUAUUUAUCAGAUUCAGUCAUGUCCUUCCGCUCAUAAAACAUGCCAUUUUUCUCUUCUCGCCAACCCAUGAAAUGUCGCCAACUCUCUGUUUUCUCCUAAUUUUUCUGGUCGCAGCUUCUAAUUCUUCACUUCUCGUUAAAUCUGAGCCGUUAAUUGCCCAAGAUCUUCGAAUAAUAUCACCAAACUCCUCAAAUUUUGAAUACCCAGUACUUGAAGACUACAAUGGGGCUAGAAAAAGUGAAAAACCGGAGUCUAAAAUGGUUAUCAUCACCGGAAAUUUCACAAUUCCGAGUGAAAACUACACUUUUCAGAUGGGUUUUUUCACUCCGAACGGCGGUUCAAAAUGGUAUCUUGGCAUUUGGUACGCUUCAACCCCAACCCCAACGUACGUCUGGGUAGCAAAUCGUGAAACGCCCGUCACAAAUCUUGCAUCUUCCACGUUAGAAUUAACAGAACUGGGACAGCUGUCGUUAACGGAGUCCAAAAACUCCGUAAUUUGGCAGAGCUCAAACUCAGAGAAAGCCACGGAGUUUCGGUUUCUUGACAACGGAAAUCUAAUUUUAUUAUCAGCCACCGGGUCAGUUUUAUGGCAGAGCUUUGAUUACCCAACUGACACGUGGCUACCGGGUAUGAACAUCACUAAGGUACAAUCUUUAACCUCGUGGAGAAGCUUAGCGGACCCGUCGCCGGGUUUAUAUUCUCUCCGGCUAAGUUUAAAAGGGUUUAAUGAAUUUGAGCUGGUGUUUAAUAAGAGUGUUAGAUACUGGAGCACCGGUAACUGGAACGGUAAGUUAUUCACCGGUGUUCCUGAAAUGACAGUGCCGUACAUUUAUAAUUUUCACUUUGCUGAUCCGUUUAGUCCCACAGCGUCGUUUUGGUACACUGAAGUGGCGGCUUCAGAUGCGGCUUUGAAGCCGCCGUUGACUCGGUUUCGGGUCGAUGUUAAUGGGCAGUUGAAGCAGUUUACUUGGGCUUCACAGGUGGCGAGUUGGAACAUGUUUUGGUCGCAGCCGGAGAAUCAGUGUAAAGUGUAUGGAUUAUGUGGGGAGUUAGGGUUUUGUAGUAGUGAUAGUGAAUCUUCUAAGCCUUGUUUUUGUCUUUCCGGGUUUACGGCUAGUGAUUAUGACUGGGAGUACGAGGAUUAUUCCGGUGGGUGUGUGAGGGAGAGCGGUGAUCGGUGUAAUGAGAGUGACGGGUUUGUGGAGGCGGGUAUGGUGGCGUUUGAGGGGGGUAAUUCGGUGUCGUAUAGGGGAAGUAGGAGUGAUUGUGAGAGGUUUUGUUUGGGAAAUUGUUCUUGUGUAGGUUUAAUUCAUGACCAGAGGAGUAAUUUAUGUAAGAAUUUGUAUGGUUCUUUAUUGAAUUUGAGAAAUCUGAGCUCUGAAGUUAAUUAUCAAGAUGUGUUAUCUAUUAGGGUUCCUAAAGAAGGCACGAUAAAGAAGAAUGAUUCAAAAUCUGUGCUUUUGAUUGGUGGUAUUCUUGCAUCUAUUGCCAUUUGUGGGUUAAUGGUAGGGAUUUUGCUGAUUUUGCAGAUGAGGAGGAAGAAGAUCAAAGGUAUUUGUAAGGGUAAAGGUAAUAGUAACGGAGAAGACGGUGGCGUUCCGAUGUUGAAUUUAAAGGUGUUUUCUUAUAAAGAUUUGCAUGCGGCUACUAAGGGUUUUGCUGAUAAACUCGGACACGGUGGAUUCGGUGCUGUGUUUCAAGGCGAGUUGUUGGAUUCUACUCGUAUUGCUGUCAAACGCCUCGAAAGGCCAGGCGGUGGCGAGAAAGAGUUCAGGGCAGAGGUAUGUACCAUUGGCAACAUACAACAUGUUAAUCUUGUUAGGCUUAUAGGGUUUUGCUCAGAGAAUUCUCAUAGGCUUUUGGUGUACGAUUACAUGUCGAAUGGUCCUAUAAGUGUUUAUUUACGCCAAGACGGACCCAAUUUGAGUUGGGAUGUUAGAUUUCGUAUAGCCGUUGGAACCGCUAGAGGCAUAGCGUAUUUACACGAGGGAUGUCGAGAUUGCAUUAUCCAUUGUGAUAUCAAACCAGAAAACAUCCUUUUGGACGGUGAUUACACGGCCAAGGUCUCAGAUUUCGGCCUAGCAAAGCUCGUUGGUCGUGAUUUUAGUCGCGUGUUAGCCACCAUGAGGGGUACCUGGGGCUAUGUAGCUCCGGAAUGGAUAUCCGGAGUGGCCAUUACUACAAAGGCCGAUGUUUAUAGUUACGGAAUGACAUUGUUGGAAUUGCUUAGCGGACGAAGAAACGUUGAGGCGCCACCCUCUGCAGGUGGCGGCAAAAAAGGCGAGCAUGGUGAGAAAUGGUUCUUUCCGCCAUACGCUGCACAACAAAUCAUUGAUGGCAAUGUAGCAGCGGUGGUAGAUUAUAGACUAGGCAGGUCAUAUAAAACCGACGAGGCUGAGCGUGUUGGGUUGGUGGCGAUUUGGUGCAUACAGGAUAGCGAGGACGAGCGACCUACGAUGGGAAUGGUAGUGAAAAUGUUAGAGGGGGUGGUUGAAGUAGCCAUUCCUCCAGCUCCAAAAUUAUUACAGGCUCUCAUUUCUGGAGACUCGUACCACGGGAUUCAAAUAGAUUCCGGUACUGGUAUAAUGCCGGUCAGCAGUGAUUGUUCCGAAGGAAGAUAUGCACUAAACUUGUAGCAUUGACUAAAUAACAGAAACAAAAUUGCAAGGGAUGGGAGGUUGUUGCUGUUCUACCAGAAAAUCUCAUCUGCAUGGCACGCCUGUAUAUUAUUAUGUGAUGUCCACCAGUUGUGGAAGAGCACGAAACCUUGACAUCCCACAGUGGUGUAGCCUCUGCAUUCACUGCAGGUCUCCUGGCUGAAU